rnacentral:rRNA from 1 species
GACGAACGCUGGCGGCGUGCCUAAUACAUGCAAGUAGGACGCAGUUGCGAGCGUGUGAGUAACGCGUAAGUAACUACCUAUGAGAGGGGGAUAACUAUUGGAAACGAUAGCGAAUACCGCAUACUAGUAGAUGGACCUGCGUUGUAUUAGCUAGUAGGUAGGGUAAUGGCCUACCUAGACAACGAUUCAUAGCCGACUUGAGAGGGUGAUCGGCCACACCUGGACGGAGACACGGCCCAGACUCCUACGGGAGGCAGCAAUAGGGACGUUUCGGCAAUUGGGGGAACCCUGACCGCGCAACGCCGCGUGAGUGAAGAAGGUGUUCGGAUCGUAAAGCUCUGUUGUUAAGGAAGCGGUACUUAACCAGAAAGGGACGGCUAACUACGUGCCAGCAGCCGCGGUAAUAC